rnacentral:rRNA from 1 species
UACGUAGGGGGCAAGCGUUGUCCGGAAUCAUUGGGCGUAAAGCGCGUGUAGGCGGCUUGGUAAGUCCGUUCUGAAAGCCCGGGGCUCAACCCCGGGAGGCGGAUGGAUACUGUCAAGCUUGAGUCCGGAAGAGGCGAGUGGAAUUCCCGGUGUAGCGGUGAAAUGCGCAGAUAUCGGGAGGAACACCAAUGGCGAAGGCGGCGACCUGGGUCGAGACUGACGCUGAUGCGCGAAAGCGUGGGGAGCAAACAGG